rnacentral:rRNA from 1 species
AAUGGGAUUCCUUAAGUAAUUGCGAAUGAACAAGGAAAUGCUCAGCUUGAAAAAUGGGGCCUUUGGCUUUGAAUUGUAAUUUUGAAAUGUAUUGCCAAUGGAGGCGCAGGUGCAAGCCUAUUGAAAGAAAGCGUCAAUGAGGGUGAGAUUCCUUUUUGUCAUUUGCAGUCCUCCGUGCACGGUAUAUAUUUGACGAGUCACACUCCUCGGCAUUGGAAUGCAAAGUGGGUGGUAAAUUCCAUGUAAAGGUAAAUAUAUUAUUGAGACUGAUAGCAAACAAGUACCAUGAGGGAAAUAUGAAAAGGACUUUGAAAAGAGAAUUAAAAGAGUCUGCAUUUGCUGAACAGAAAGCAAACAGAAUUGAUUUUACUUGGUGAGAUUGUUGUGCUUACUCUAUCAUUUAUAUGGUUGAUGUGGGUGCGAUGGUUCUUACCUUGAAUGUCAGCUUCUAUUUCUGCAAAUCAUUACCCUUGCACAUGAAUGGUAACUUGCCUGCGGGUAUUGGAAUGCAUGUGUUUGCAAUGAUUUGUGAUUUGACGCAUGUGUUUGGUGAAAUUUGUAUAUGCUCUUUUGUCGAAGGGGAAAGCUUACUUUUUUGAGCAUUGCAAGCCCUUACACAUCAGUGCUGGCAAAAUGUUUCUGCUUGACCCGUCUUGAAACACGGACCAAGGAGUCUAACAGAUGUGCAAGUUCGUGGGUGGCAAACCUUUUUGCGCAAUGAAAGUAUUGGCUGGGAUACUUGCACCAGCAGCCGACCAAUUAGCAGACAGAGGUUUGAGUUUGAGCAUAUCUAUUAGGACCCGAAAGAUGGUGAACUAUGCCUGAACAGAAUGAAUUCAGAGGAAACUCUGAUGGAGGUUCGUAUCGAUACUGACGUGCAAAUCGUUCGUCAUACUUGGGUAUAGGGGCGAAAGACUAAUCGAACCAUCUAGUAGCUGGUUCCCUCCGAAGUUUCCCUCAGGAUAGCUGGAGUUGCACAGUUUUAUCAGGUAAAGCGAAUGAUUAGAGGAAUUGGGGACACGCUGUCCUUGACCUAUUCUCAAACUUUAAAUGGGUAAGAUGCAAUGGUUGCUUUAUUGAACUUUUGGAAUAAAUGGCAAUAUCAGGUGGGCCAUUUUUGGUAAGCAGAACUGGCGAUGAGGGAUGAACCUAACGUUGGGUUAAGGUGCUUAAUUGCUUGCUCAUUAGAUACCAGAAAGGGUGUUGGUUCAUUUUAACAGCAGGACGGUGGUCAUGGAAGUCGAAAUCCGCUAAGGAGUGUGUAACAACUCACCUGCCGAAUGGACUAGCCCCGAAAAUGGAUGGCGCUCAAGCGGGUGACCGAUACCCAACCACUGUUGCAAAUAGUGUCAGUGUGUAGGAGGGCAUGGCGGUUUGUGAUGCAGCCUUUG